rnacentral:rRNA from 1 species
AGAACGAACGCCGGCGGCAGGCCUAACACAUGCAAGUCGAGCGGUAGAGAGGUGCUUGCACCUCUUGAGAGCGGCGGACGGGUGAGUAAUGCCUAGGAAUCUGCCUAGUGGUGGGGGAUAACGUUCGGAAACGGACGCUAAUACCGCAUACGUCCUACGGGAGAAAGCGGGGGACCUUGGGCCUCGGCGCCAUUAGAUGAGCCUAGGUCGGAUUAGCUAGUUGGUGAGGUUAAU